GUUGCCCAUCUUCCUGGAUGAGGCGGCUAGCGCGGUGGCCCUAAUGGAUUUGAUUGGUGGCGAAGAGGAAUCCGCCAAUGGAUCUUGUGGGGCUGUUGUCGCCGGAUUUGCGCACGACUCAUCUGGGCAGUUCGUACGUGGUGUUGUGUGCAGCAAGGAGAGGACUGUAGCUACCGGUGGUGCCGCCAUGUCCGGUUUCAGUGAGAGCGAGGGUGACAACGCAGAUGCAAUUGACCAAGCCGACGACCAAAGCACAUAUUGAUGAACACCAAGAGGCUGUGAUUUAAGAUCGAACUGAAUGUGGUGAUGGAGGGUCUGCUCAAUCUACUACUUGCAAGGUGGAUCCGCAAGCCCCUGGGUGGACUUAGAGAGUAAGAGUCGGGAAUCAGCCAACGGAUAGAGCCCCAUGCCCAGAAAGAUUAGACGCGCUGGAGGAGACAAUUCGAGGGCAUGCAGAUAAAUUGGGGGACCAUGUAGUUGAGCCUGCUAUUGGCUUAACAUUCAACUCCUUGGGUGAAGCAUAUGAUUUUUGCAACCUUUAUUCGUGGGAGCAUGGUUUUGGUAUCAGGUAAGACAUGCCAUUUUGCUUGUUUUUCGUGGUAAACACAUCUAUGGCAAGUGCACACAUAGUUUUCAAUGUUUCAGUAAAGAGUCAUCCAUCGGGCAUGAAGCAGUAGAACCAUUGACUGAAGAUUCCUUAGUUUACACACGAUGUCUGACGAAGUGUGUCACUGCUCAUGGAAUUUUCAGAGUUAGAGUAAGAGGUCAUCGAUCCAACAGAGUUAGAAUAUUGAUCAUUUAAAAUUAGAUUGUAGGUCAUGGACAGUGUGUGAACAUGUAUGCUAAUUGCCGACUAAAUUUUCGGAGUAAAAUAUGACGUAGAUUAGAAACACACGAUUUCGUCAUGUCAUUGCAGAGCUUGAUUAAGUUUAUACAGUACAUUUUAUGGAGUAUGCUAACUCUCCGCUGCACUGAAAUUACAGGACACCCUGUCCCAGCGGACUCGGCACACUCUCCGCUCCGUUGAAAUUACAGGACACCCUGUCCCAGCAGGCUCGACACUCUCCGCUCCGCUGAAAUUACAGGACCGGACACUAUGUCUGGGAAGAAUUUGUGCACUGGAGCAAAUGAUUUAGGGGUAUACAGAUUAGUUGGGUGAGCACGGUGCUAUUGGGCUAACACUAGACCCUAUGUAAGAAACCUAUGGUUUUUACAAUCUUUAUUCAUGGAAGCAUGGUUUCACCAUUAGAUAUUAUGGGAAAAGUAGGCUUAAUGUCAGGAAGACAAAAUGUAUAAAGGAAGUUUUCUGCGGAUGGUUGGGAGAGGAGAGUGGUGCAGCAGUGGUGGCAGGAGGAAGAAGAUUGCUCCAUCCAUCAGUUGGCCGAGCUCCGGCGUCCUCGCGUCAGGCUUGGCUUAGAGUGCUGACAAUGAAGCAUUCUACAUGGUAUGCAUCCAGAUCCGCUUCAUCUGCUAGACGCUAAAUCGAGUCAAUGGACCAAUUGGCUAGAAUUAGAAAUUAACUGUGUGUAUUUUGUGUUUGCGCCUCCGUGUAUUUUGCUGGACGCUUAGUGUGUUCAUCGCUGGGAGGAACUAUCUCUAAAUUAGUUGUUAUUAUUGCAGUGUAGUAGCCAA